AUGUAUUGUGCGGUGAAUUGUAUUGAAAAUCCUUAUAUUGCCAACUACAUAAAGAAAAGAAAAGAAAUAGAAGAUGAAGAGAAUACUAAUGAAAGGGAAGAGACUUCCCAAUAUCCUCCUAUUAUUUCUUAUGAUGAAUCAGGUAACAAGGAGGAGCCUUCUAUUCAACCAAUCUCAUUAAUAAGGAGCUCCAAAGAGAGGAUUGAACCCACACAUGAUGUGCUGAAGAAGAAGAAAAGAAAAAGGAAGAGAGGUAAAAAGAUAUCUCUCCCAAAUAAUGUUGCUCCUAUAACUAUUGUGAAUAUGAUAAUUGCUAUACUCUUGGUGCUAUCCAUACUAUUAAUUAUGAGAAUGAUUUUUUUGAGAAUAUAUUUGCUGCAAUUAAUGUUUGUCCUAAGCUCGGGGAAGCUAUGA
rnacentral:rRNA from 1 species